GUAGGGAAUAUUGGACAAUGGGCGAAAGCCUGAUCCAGCCAUGCCGCGUGAUAGAUGAAGGCCCUCUGGGUUGUAAAUAUCUUUUAUCUGGGAAGAAACUCCUCUAUUCUUAGAGGCCUGACGGUACCAGAGGAAUAAGCACCGGCUAACUCCGUGCCAGCAGCCGCGGUAAUACGGAGGGUGCAAGCGUUAUCCGGAUUCACUGGGUUUAAAGGGUGCGUAGGCGGGUUGAUAAGUCAGUGGUGAAAGCUCCGGGCUUAACUUGGAAACUGCCAUUGAUACUGUCAGUCUUGAAUGUCGUAGAGGUAAGCGGAAUGUUGCAUGUAGCGGUGAAAUGCUUAGAUAUGUUACAGAACACCAAUUGCGAAGGCAGCUUACUAUGCGAUAAUUGACGCUGAGGCACGAAAGCGUGGGGAGCAAACAGGAUUAGAAACCCGGGUAGUCC
rnacentral:rRNA from 1 species